rnacentral:lncRNA from 1 species
UUGCUGUUGUUGUUUUUGGUUUUAUGAGACAGGGUUUCACUAUGUAGGCCAAGCUAGCCUUGAACUCACAGAUCCUCCUGCCUCAGCCUCCUAAGAUUAUAGGCACGUGUUACCUCACCUCAUCCUGGCAUUAGUUUGUUUUUGUUUUUGUUUUUUGAGGUAGAAUUCCACUAUGUAGUUCAUGUUGGCCUUGAUCUCACUGAAGCCCAGGCUGGGUUUGAGCUCAUGGCAAUCCUCCUGCCUCAGUCUCCUGAGGGCUGGGAUUAUAGGUGUGUGCCACCAUGCUUGGUCUAGCCUGUUUUUUGACUGUUUUAUCCACAGACCCUAAAACAAAGUGACUGUCACACUGUCACAAAGUAGGAACUCAAAUGUGUGAAUGAGUGAGUGAACAUGUAAGCUACCCUAAUGGUUACUUCACUAAACAUACUAGACUUAUGAGGGAAGUAUCAGCCCAUGGACAAAUGCAGUGGUGAUGAAUUUCAUUUGUGGACAUGCAGCCGACAUGCAGGGGCUGCAUGACCAACCAUGACAGGCAUCCGGGCACAGCGCACACGUAGAUACACUGGAGUGGCAGAGCGCACACAACCUGAGAUGCUAACAUGGAGGCUCAGGCUUCGAACCUGAAGAACCCACUUCACAUCCCAGGGCAGUGGGCAUGGUGGCAUAUGUCUGUCAUCUCAGUACUGGGGAGGCUGAGGCAGGAGGGAUCCUGGGGAGGUGUGUGGGGAAUCUGUUCAGUCUUCCCUGGACUUCCUAGGAGAGUUCUGACCUCCAGGACUCUGUGUCACCAUUGGGUCCUAAGUCCCAGUUGGGCGAGGGGAAUAGAGGAGUCACACUCGAGGACAGUAAGUCUGUGUUUUGGAGAUGGAGCCCAUUUCUCGCUAUUUAAGAACCUGUGCUAGGUUCACGAAUUACACUUUUGGUUUUCGAAUCAGGCAGAAUUGCUUUGAAGGACAUAGAAGGCAAGAACUCAUGGAAACGGAAAGGAGAGAAAUGCUGGCAGAGGAGCUGCUCCAGUGACCUCGGGGGCUGGAGGACUUGGGGACCCCCCCAGCAGCAGGUUGGAGCAGGUAGAAAGAGGUGCUGAAGCAUUUCCCAAGGUGGAGGGCCUUCG